CCCCCGACAAAGCCAGCCCAAAUCUAACUGCUUAUUAGGCCGCUCCGCUGACGGGCUCGCGGCCUCGCCGGACUCUUCUUCUCCUUUGCUUCCGGCGGAUCGCGUCGUGUCGCCUGGCCGCAACCAAAGCUCCCCACGACGACCUACCGUUCUCCUCUCCGGUGGACACCUUUUUUGUACCAAAUUGAAGCAUACUGCCCGGAAUUUCAUUGGGCAAACUCAUGAGCACGGCGGAGGAAGACGGCUAUAGUUCACGGUGCGACCUGUGCGAUACAGAGGUCAUACACAGCAUGACAGAACUCCUGCUUCGUGGAUUGGCCACAGCUUCGGUGGACAGCACCACCGGCGAUAUAUUCAAGAGCGCAUCUUCUGUAGCUGGCGCUGUGAAGACCGAGCUAGAAAAUUACCUGCUUGUGAGAGCUGAAGCACUUAUUCGUGAAUCUGUGGAUGGAGGAGAAGAUCAUUCGGAUAAAUUAAUGAAGGCCUCCACCAGGCCGACUGAGUUCCUGUCAGACUUGAUCGAUGACUUUGUUGCCUCCAAAAGGAACCUGCUGAGCCACGUGUCUGGAUUUUUGUCCAGUGAAAGCCGAUUGAACAAAAUUAACGAUUUUAUGCAAAAGAUGGAGAUGGAGAAUGUGUGGGCACUGGACGUAAGGAAGGCUACUGCAGAGACUAUUCUUGAAAGCAUAGACAUGAAAUGCAUUUUCCAUUGCCUUGAGAGAUUUGUUGAGCAAGAUAAGUUAGCUGGCCACAGAAGUCAGUGCAAAUUUAGGGUAGUGAACUGCAAAAACGAUGGGUGUUCAGCUUCAUUUUCUGUUAUUCAUAUUGAGGAGCAUGACUCCAUAUGUCCGUUUAAGCCUCUGCCAUGUGAUCAGCUGUGCGACCAACAUGUUAUGCGUUGUGAGAUGAACAAACAUUGUGCAACAGUUUGCCCUAUGAAGCUUAUUAAUUGCCCUUUUUACCAAGUUGGAUGUGAAACAGCCUUUCCACAGGGUAAUCUUGAUAAUCAUUGUUCGAAGUUGCUUCAAACCCAUAUGUUGUAUGUUCUCCAAGCAACUACAAGACAGAAUGCUACUGUUGAUGAUAUGAAUCAACGGUUACAACUCCUUGAGAAGGCUCAGUCACUUAACGAAAUGUCUGGGGCUUUAGAUGCCAGGUCCCUCACUCUGAUAAUAAAGGAGCAAGAAGCAAAGAUCAAAAAACUCGAGCGUGAUAUCAAAACACAAGAGGCAAAGAUGAAGAGGCUUGAGAAUGAGUUUAGGUCAAGGAAUGCAUGAUAGUUGCCAUAAUUCCAUAUGCAUUAGACAAACCAGGGUAGAUCUUGUGAAGAUGCUAGGAUGGUAUUGGUCUAAAAAAUGGUCAUUUAGCUGCCUUGGUUGCAUUCUGUGCUGGAAUAUUCCCUGAUCUGAAGCCUCUUGUUUGUGUGGAUGCGAUUCCAUGGGUGGCCUUCCACCACAGCUUUUCUUGGAUGUCUCCGCAACGUCAUUGUUGGCUUGGCUGUUUUCCAGCUUUGGCAUAUGAUCACAAGCACCCUAUUUGAGGAAAUAAUCACAAGCAGCCUCCAAAAUCUUGCAAACUUCUCUCCUGUACUGCACCGGCAUACCAGAUCAUGUCAAGAACAAACUAUCAAAUGGUGUUUUUUUUAAAAAAGAUCAGUACUGGUUUCUUUAUUUAAUCUUACAUGAUUUUAACAAUCAUCAUAGCUAGAUGGUUGUGUGGUGUGGAGAAAUUUUGAGUCAUAUCAUAUUCAUGUCAGAUUCCUAAUUUGACAGUAGUAAAGAAUGAAAACCAAAUUGGUCCAAGAAAUUAGAAUUCUAAAAUCUAAAUUGUUGUCCUUCCAUUUUCUUGUUUUACGGAGCUGUGAAAUAUCAGUGAACCCUCAUGUUGACAGUAGAUGUUCUUUAGCUAGGAGACAUAUCAAGGGUGGUGUUGCGUACCUCAUCAGUUGCUCCAGAUUUUAUUCUGGAUUGUAAUAUGCACCAUUUCUUCAUGUUUACCCCUAUUAUGUGCACAAAAAUAGUGCAUAUUAUCGGAAAUAUGUUCUGCUGAAUAGAUUUUAUGGAAGUACAGUUCAACUUA